ACGGGGGGUGCGAGCGUUGUCCGGAAUCACUGGGCGUAAAGGGCGCGUAGGUGGUUUGAUAAGGGUGUGGUGAAAGCCCGGGGCUCAACCCCGGGUCUGCCGUGCCGACUGUCAAACUCGAGGACUGUAGAGGCAGACGGAAUUCCGGGUGUAGCGGUGGAAUGCGUAGAGAUCCGGAGGAAGACCGGUGGCGAAGGCGGCCCCCUGGUUGGAUACUGACGCUGAUACGCGAAAGCGUGGGGAGCAAACAGGA
rnacentral:rRNA from 1 species